CUCAGGGAGGGCAGGAGAGCCUGAGGAGUGGCGGGGCCGCCAGAUAAUAGAUUCUAAGGAGACAUGGAUUCCUUUCAACUCUGAGGAUUCACAGCAGCUGGAAGAGGCAUAUAGCUCUGGAAAAGGUUGUAAUGGGAGAGUUGUUCCUACUGAUGGGGGCAGAUAUGAUGUUCAUUUGGGGGAGAGGAUGCGGUAUGCUGUAUACUGGGAUGAACUGGCAUCGGAAGUGAGACGAUGUACGUGGUUUUACAAGGGGGACAAAGACAAUAAGUAUGUUCCCUACUCGGAGAGCUUCAGCCAAGUUUUAGAGGAAACUUACAUGCUUGCUGUAACUUUGGAUGAAUGGAAAAAGAAACUG
rnacentral:lncRNA from 1 species